rnacentral:lncRNA from 1 species
GGAUUUCCUUGAAUUAGUGCAUUCCCUUUGGGACAUCUUGGUUGUUAAAUGAAAAUGUUCCUUUUCAGGUAUUUGUGCUGAAUGUGGAAGCUCAGGUGCAGGAAAGAGUUUCAUGGUUGCUCUGUUGGAAUAAUCUUCUAAGAUAUUUGUACAUGUUUUUCAUACCCUGGAGUUUCGUAAUGGUGGGUUUUUUUCCCCCUCCUCUCAGGGCUAGCUGUUCUACCUAUUCCAUCUUGACUUACAGGUCUUUUAUUGCAAUUUAAUAGUUGUUCUUAAUCUUUUCCAGGUGCACAUAAUGAUCCUGCUCCUGACACAGAUCUUUUGCCACAGGAAGCCUGUGAGGAAGCUGAGAAGUGCUUCUUGGAUUAUCAGUCCUUUCCAGAAGCUACACUCUUCUCCUUGGAAAUGUUAUCAUGGGUGGUCUUGAUGGAAAAGCACUGCAGACUCUAAUGGUGAAUGUUAAAGUGGCUUCAUAAAUCUGUGCACAAACUGAAGUGGCAGGAGCUGCAUCCAGCCUCUCCAGUUUACCUGGCCAUGCUGUUGCAGUUUAUUUAGGUCUGGACAAGCUGACUGUUGUUCCUGCUUGCACAGUCCAGCUACAUUUCCAUUCUGGUCAGGUCAGUGUCCAUCAUUUCCAGGCAGAGAUCUUCAGCACUCCCCUCCACUUCAGUCUCCAGACUUGCCUGCAGAGACUCAGUUGCAUGCUGAUGGUUGCUUUCACAAAAUGGGAACAGGACACCACAUCAUCUCCAGGCAGCAGAGAGGGGCUCUCUGGCAGCUGAUGGAGGCUGGAGCAAAGAGCUGGGGAGAGAGCCCAGGAAACACUGGAGUGAGAGGGACAGUACCUUGGAGGGCAGUAGAGUCCAUGGAAAGGUCUAUCAGACAUCUCUGCUGA